rnacentral:lncRNA from 1 species
UUUGCAGCCCCCAGAACAAGGACCCCAGAGACAGAGUGAGAGAGGGCAAGAGAAGGCAAGAUGCAAGUCACACUCUUUUUGUAACCUAAUCCCAUCACAUUUCCUGAAUUCUGCUCAUUAGAAAGAAGUCACUAGAUUCAGCCCACAUUCAAGAUGAGAAAUACCAGAAGACAGAGAACACUGAGGCUGUUUUAGAGGCUGUCAACCCCAGGGAGACAGACAGCAAAUAAGUAAGCAAAUAAAUAAAAAUGGAAGGUGAUAAUAAGUGCAAUGAAAAGAAAUGAAGCAGAGUAAAGAAUCAAGAGUAGCAGUUGAGGGGCAAACAUGGAGGAACAGAGUUUGGAGCAAUACCCUGACUUACAUUCAGUACUGUUAAUGGCUCCAGCAUCUUGAAACAAACCAAUUUUGGAUUUUCAGUGAAAAAGAAAGCCAACCCAGAAAAUCACUUAGGAAGAUCCAGACAA